rfam:Triticum aestivum genome assembly, contig: Triticum_aestivum_CS42_TGACv1_scaffold_500168_6BL
AAUAUACUCCCUCCGUCCCAAAAUUCUUGUCUUAGAUUUGUCUAGAUACCGAUGUACGUAAUACUAAAAUGUGACUUGAUACAUCCGUAUUUAGACAAAUCUAAGACAAGAAUUUUGAGACGGAGGGAGUAGUUA